CAUUCACGAGCACAGGCCAUAAAUGACCGAGGCGAACGCCACGUUAAACAUCGCAUUCUCAAAAGUACAGCACAGACCUUGGAGCACUGCCAAAAUGCCAGGAACAAAAGGUAAUAAGUCGGACAAGAAGUCAACAACCAAGCAACCUCAGAGUCCAAAAGAGCAGCCGAAGAAAGGUGAUCAGAAAGGAGAUGAUAACAAGAAGCAAGGAGGACAGCCGAAGGGAGAGAAGCAAUAACUUCCAGGCUUUUGUGAAGAUGGCUUUGGAGACAUUGCUGGGGUCCUGUCGUCGUAAACAUGGGGGUCCUCGGGGGAGACAGGGAUGAGUUCACCGCCCCUCCCCUCUGCACUUUUUUCUCUCUGAGCCGUGGACUGGAUUGUUAUAAGGCCUUCCAACACAGACUCUGCUCACCUCUGGCAGAGGCAGAAAAUGAAUCUGAUCUCCAUCCCCCACCAUCAGUUGUUUAACCUUUGCCCCCCAGCUGCCUUCUGCCCCCCUCCGUCUUAUUGGAUGCUCAGAUAUAAAUCCCAGGUUAGACCAGUCUACUGCUUGACCCUUGACCCCGCUAACGUACCCUAACUCAUCCUAACUCUAUGAUUGACUGUCAAACAGUCUAUAAUUUCUUCCUGUAAAUAAUGAUGACUCAAAUAAAAAAUAUUUCUUACACCA